UACAAAACAAAUAGUUUACAUUUAACUUUUGUCUAUGUUAUCCAGAGCAUCUACAGAAAGAGAACCAAUCUUAGCUAUAAGGAAUAUUUCGGCAUCAAAAUGGUUAAUAGUAUUAUAGCUUCAAAAGAGCCUAUUGGCUCACCCUCAAGGAUGCCCUGCAGUUGUUGUUAAAGUCAUCAGAUGAAGCUAGCCUUCUCAGCUAGCCUUUAGAUUUGUCUGCUAACAGUAAAAAUGCUGUAAUAAAUCGGUAACAUAUGUUGCCAGGCAAGGAAAAGUGAUAUAAAUAAAGAGACAAGGAGACCCAAACCAAGUACAAUGUGAAAAAAAAAACAAAAACAAAAACAAAAAAAACCCCUUAAUUUUCAAUCUACUCGUUGGCUAAUUACCAUUUGAAAAGUGUUUUGAAAGUGUUACUGUUAUUUGCUUGUGUUCUUCCUCAUUUUUCUCUUUUUCUCUUCAGAUUGCAUUCUUACCCAAAUACUCUUCCGUGAUUGCCUGCUUUGCGGCUUUGGGGUAAGUCCCAGUUUUCCACAACCUUAAAGAAGAAAAAAAAAUGCAUAACAUAAAAGAUGCCAAAAAAGACUUAUGUGUCCUGAUGUGCGGGUUUUGUGAAAUAUAAAUGGGUUGGUUGUGGGGUAGAUGUAAGGAAAUAAAGAGAAGAGGUUUGUUUCUGCAGGGCUCAAGAGUAUGUGAAAGUGUGCAUUGCAAACGAGGCUCCCGUCAGGAAAGCUACCUCUGGAAUGGAAAUGACAAAGCUUGGAACACACACAAUCAAUUAUUUUCACUAGCAUUUAAAAUAUAGAAAACAAAAUCUGCUUUGGGGAUUGACUGAAUAUUUUAUUUAGCUUUUUUAUUGAGACAUCCUUUGAAAAAUGGUAUAAUAUAAAUAGUUUUACAAAGCAACAAUAUAAUCAAUCUCUAAACUAGAGUAUAAAUCAAGGAUUUCAUUAACUGCUGGUAGCCAGUUUAAAUUGUAGUCUUGUCCAUAAUGUCUAUCUAUCUAUGUAUGUCCAAGUUAUAUUAAAAACCUUUAAAUGGCUUUGUAAUAUCAGCUACAUCUAGCUAUUAUAAUAAUUAAUGGUACUGUUUUAUAAAUCAAUACAUGUAUUCUUGAUAAAUUCAUAUCCAGUUAAUGAUGUAAUUUAAAUAAAAAAUUAAUGUAAUAAAGGACAUACAGAAACAGGCAGGAAAUCUUUAAAGGUUAAGAGACAAAUUUGUCUAAAUUCAUUUUUAAGCUGUUCUGAAAAAUUUUUAUGUUUAGAAUAAGCUAAGAUUUACCUUUGUGUCUGCUAUCUUGCCAUAUCUAUUAGGAAUUAGUAUUGAAUUUAUAAAAUAUUUUCUUUUCAACUGUUAAGUUUUAAUUACAUACUUAAUACUAUGUGAUAUUUUACUGCCAUUAUACUCUUUUGCAGUUCUUGAAUAUUCCUCAGAUAAACAGAACAAAAAGAAAACCUAAAAAUUUUAACUUAGUGAUCUAGUUUAAUAUACAAAUGAAAUGUAAAUGCUUUGCUAUUUGUUCAUAUAUGUGUGUAUGUUUAUAGAUAUAUAUGUAUAUAGUUUACUUAAGGGGGAAGAACUGAUUAGUUAAAUGAAUUUGCAUUUCUAAGAACUCUGUGUUUUUAUUUCUUUCACUGAAUGAACAUUCUAGGAGUCUUAGGAAGAAAUUAAAAUUACUUGAAAAGUCCAACGUGUAUUUUAACGUUGUACAUGGGUAGAAAAACAUUCUACUAAAAUGUAUGAUUUCUAUAAUUUAAAUACUACAUACUAGAUGUAUACUAUAGAAUAACAAGAUUUAAAAAAAUAGCAGCAUGUUGUAAUUUAUAAAAUACAAUCUUAAAUAUUUCCAAAUAGAAUUUCAUUUGGUUUAUAGAAUAAUAAUUUUACACAAAAUAUCUUUCAGAAUUAUGCAGACCAGUCUGCCCUGCCAUUUUCCGUGACAUGGUGCAGAAAUGUGACUUUAAUCCACUGAGCUUUUUCUGACAUUUUUCUUAACAUUGCAGGGCUUUAUUUAGAGCAGCAAAGGCUACAUGUGCAGUUUCCUUUGACACUGAUGGGUGUUUCAAAAUGUUACAGGAGAAAGAGGAAAAGGGAGAGAGAGAGUGAGAGAGAGAGAGAGAGACUUGCUGCCAGACACUUCAUCAAUAGAGCUACAGGGCAAUUACUAUUUGUUAAAAGUUUACAUUUCAAAUGAAGCUAAAUUUUAAAGAAGCCUUAUCUUUUCAGAAGAGGUUGGAAGAGGAAGGAAGAGAAUGCGUAUUAGUGAUUACAUGUUAAAGUGCACUCAAGUGCUGGAACCAUUUAAAAUGUAUUGUGUCUUUAGAUGAAACCUACAGCAAAACCACUCCUAAGAGGCUUAAUUUAGGUUUUAUAGGAGGAACAUAAAAAAGACCAGGUUACAGCAGCAUGCUGAAAUAUGGGGUACAUUUUAAAUAUCUUCAUUUUAAAACGUAUGUUUAUUUUCUCUCCUGGGAUCACUAACAUGGAUCUUGACAGAAAAACCAAGGAUAUGCUACAUUCUUAAAAAUUAUCUAUUAAAGGAAUCACAUUCCAAGACAGGUUUGAGCAUUUUUACUACUGCAGAUAACCUCUUAAUUAUGUCACUACCUUCCACUUGUUAAUCAGAGGCAUUCAACACGCUUAACCAUCUAGGGAUUGCCUUUAGAAGACUACUUUACUAUUAGGAAUCAGAAACACAUUUUAUUCCCAAUAUGAUAUUAUUGCAUGUAUGAUGUUAUUAGCAUUGUUACAUCUUAUUUACCUGCUUUAAACACAAAACACCUAUAGAUAGGUAUGCCUGUAACAAUGUGGCUAAUUGCUUCAAAUGGUACAGCUUAUGAAAAGCAUUAAAAGGUAGGUAAUUUUACUUUUCCUAUCAUCCCUUUCUGCCUCCCCUACCUCAUAUAAUUCCUGCUUGAACUAAUUUUAGUUUUCUCCUGCAACCGCCAGUGCCUCAGAUACUGAGAUCCUUUUCCAGAGAACAAGGUGUAAGUGGAGUAAAUAAAACCUUGUUUCACUGUUGCUUUAUCAACCCUCCUAGGUAGUUUUCCUGCCAGCCAACCUGCACUGUUAAGACCCAUAAAAUUAUGCAAUAGUGACUUCUUUGGAGGUUCUCUAUAAUCAGAUAAUGGCCAGUGUUAGGAGGGAAGGGCCCAAGGCAAUGUUGCUGGCACUUAACACAGAGGUUGGUCAUUACUUGUCUGGUAGAGACCAAUAAACAGCUGAUUACUAUCCUAGAAGGAGCCAAUAUUUUACAUUUACCCUAGCCAAUAUUUUGCAUACAUUUUCCCCCUUUUCAUUUCAACUUCUUAUACUAGCAAGCAUUUGUCAAGAAAAUCUAUCAAGAAUAACCUCACAGGCAUCUUAAAAACAAGAAUUUUCCUAGCAUGAAAGGAUGCUUUUUUUGUGUGUGGAAUGGUGAGAAUGAUUUUGCUUUUUACAGGAGCAAAGGUUUGAUUACUUUAACGUCCAUUUCUCUUAGAUAUGUACACUCUCAGACACCCCCCUCAGCCCCCACUUCCCUCUUCUCUACUCUAGAACAGGUUCACAGGCUGCAACUAAGGAGUUUUAAAAUGCAAAUAUUUAUAUUUGAGCUCUGGCAAUAACAGAGUGAUUUUUGCUUCCUCUGUAAGCCCGUGAUAAUUGAUGCUUCAUACCUGGAACUAUGUUUCAUUUAUCUCUUUACACAUGAAGAUAUUAUAUAAAUAAAAGAUAAUUUAUGGAAAGAAGCGGGCCAUUUGAAAUAAUCAUCCUAAAUUUAACUCUAUAAUCUUCAAGGCUAUAAGAAUCAGAAGGGCAGCUUGCCACACUUUUAAAGAAAAUUUGAUUGCAACCAGGGAAUUUGUGCAUUUUUGAACACUUACUGAAUUUGAAUGCCUGCACAGGACUAAAAAUGGAGAUAAAAGGAAGACAGGAGAGAUAAAGGUGAAAUUUACAUGUGCUAUAAGUGAUGAUAUUCAGUCAUAUAUUAAAUAUAUAAUUUUAUUAAUAUUUUCUUUAUAUCUAAAUAUAAUUUUACUAACAGAUACUAAUUGCAAAAUAAGAUAUCAUCUCAAAUUCCUUUUGUUCCCUGGGAUCCUGAUCUUAGAAAGAGCAGGUGUAUCCCCAAAGAACUGGAUCCUGGUUUCACAACCUCAUACAAAGACAGGCAAUUCUUGAGUCAAACAAACAAAGGGGGUGUAAGCAAUUUCAUUUAUUUUGAUAAUUCUCCUUCUUCACGGGAGCAUUUUGCUGUCUUUGUCAAAGUGAAUGACAACAAUUUGGUCAACUCUCUCUGAGCUGCACUCAACAGUGACAGGCAAAUUAUCAGAGGCCCUGCACUUCUUAUUAUCAGAGGAGAAACCAUCAGGGGGACGCAUGGAGGAUACCUCUCCCUUGUCACUAUUUGUCAGUGGGACAAGGGCCACUGCUAUGGGUAGCUGACAGAUCCUUGAACCUCAGUUACUAGCACAUAUGAGGAAUAAUUCUUACUGAGAAAUGAAAGAAAAAUAAAACAAAGCAGUGAUUAGAAGAUGCUACUUGCAUUUGGCCAUAUUAGAGAUUAUAAAGAUUUCAUGUUUUUAAAAGAAGACUAAACUCAGAACAAAAAUGGGGAACUUAAACAAAAUGUUCUGUACAUUUUAUUGCAGAUUCUUUAAGGAGUAGAGAACAUUCAUAUGGAUUGACAGCCCCAUUUUAUCAUUAUUAUUCUUUUUAUUCCAUUAACAUACUUAUGGCUAUAUGCCUUCUAUAAUCAUAUUUAGUAAAAACAAACACCCCCCUGAGUUUAUAGAAUAUAAUCCACUUUUUAAAAUUCACAGGUUGAACACAGAUUUCCAUUCACUUCACAAUUAACUCAAAAAUCGAAAACUACAAAUUUUGAGGUUUGUAUUUCCAAAUAUUAAACAACAACAACAACAACAACAAAAAUCUCCUCCUUUGUUUUUGACCCCCAACCCAGCAUGUUCUUAAGUGGUCUACUUCAAACAAAAGAAAAUGACACAGCCCUUUCAAUGAGCAAAUGUUAGGUUCUUUCAAAACCAACUGGGGACUCACUGGAAGUUUUGCAAUUAGACUCACACAAAUUGAAUUAUUUUCAUAUUUUUCCCAGGCAUCAUUCCUGGAACUUUAUAAAUAAAACAGUACUGGAAUUAGA